GUGAUAUUCUUUUGCAAGUUACUUUAUUGGCUUAACCUUACAUCUUUGGACAUUUUUCCUUGUCACUAUAUAGAGACCUACCUCACUCUUUUUAACCACUGUACCACAGUGAUAUGUUGAAUGGCUCUGCCAUGAUUUGUUUAAUGAAUACCUGAUAUAUGGACACUGGAGUUGUUUUCAAAAAGAUUUUUUAAUCAUACUUCGAUGAUCAUCAUUGCACAGGUGUUUUUGCAUGUACUUGAUUAUACAUCUGUAGGUGAAGUCCUAGAAAUGGAAUUGCUUGGUGACACAGAAUAAGGGACAUAAAUUGAUGUCAUAAGCUUGAUUCUCCUAGUGCCCAUGUCCAUACCCCUCCUUGCGAGGAAAAUCUCCUCCUCCCCCAGUUCUCCUAUGGUUCUACAUGGAAAUCACAGGGCUUUGAUAUAACCCUCACCUCCCCUGGCCACAGCACAGAUGAUUACCUCCACCUUUCAGAUGAGACGGAUGAGUGUCCAAGAGCUAUGAUGACUUCCAUGGUUAGUGAGUAUAUAAACUGAAAGUCAAGCCUAGGUCUGCAUGACUCCAAAAGAUGCAUUCAUUGUCACAUGCUGCACUUUGAUGCAAAUAUGAAUGAUUCUGUUGAAAACCAUCUGAAUAUAGAAGCCAAUUGGAUUCUCUGGGACUCAGGAUCUGAACUCUGGUUGGGUUUGUGCUGUUUUCUGAGCAAGAACAAAAGGGGAAAUCCUCACCCUGGAAUCUAAAUCUUUUACCUUCACAGAACCACAGGCACAGGGGGUGCCCAGAUGGAACAUUCUUUCUGGGUGUGUCUGCGAGGAUGUUGAUGAGGUUAGCAUUUGGAGCCGUAGACUCAGUAGAUUGUCCUCUUCAGUGUGAGUGGACAUCACCCAAUCCACUGAGGGCCUGAAUAGAACAAAAAAGCCGAGGAAAGGGGGAUCCACUCUCCCUGCCUGACUGGCGGAGCUGGAACAUCAGUAUUCUCCUCCCUCGGACUGGGACUCGGACCAGCAGCCCUCCAGAACUCAUACCACUACAC
rnacentral:lncRNA from 1 species